GUAACUUUAGAGAUAUUUUGUAGUCCCGUUGCGCAAGUUGGAACCGGUGUUUUUCUGGAUCAAAUGCGCCAAAUAAAUGGACAUUUUGGAUAUAUAUGGAUGGAAUUAAUCGAACAAAAGGACAAUUUGUGAGGUUUAUGGGACAUAUUGGAGUGCCAACAGAAGAAGCUCAUCAAAGGUGUGCUGGAGAGCAGAUCCCAACCAGCUGCAACCUGUUCCAUAAUCAAGACCUCUACAAAGCCACUUCCACACUGCCAGAUCGUAAUAUCUGCUCAUCCCACGUCUCCUCAUCCUGCUACUCUGCCCUGGAUUCUCCACCAUACUGCUCUCUUGGAUUCCCCUCCGGACCAGCUUACCCUGUCCCAACCCCUCUUGCUCCAGCCUCAGCCUCCGCACCUGGUUUCCUGCAACCUUCCCGAGCUUCCCC
ensembl:lncRNA